ACUCCUACGGGAGGCAGCAGUAGGAAUUUUCCGCAAUGGACGAAAGUCAUGACGGAGCAAUGCCGCGUGAGUGAUGAAGGUUUUCGAAUUCGUAAAGCUCUGAUUGUAAGGGAAGAAUAGCAGUAGUAGGAAAUGACUACUGUGUGGACGGUACCUUACCAGAAAGCCACGGCUAACUACGUGCCAGCAGCCGCGGUAAUACGUAGGUGGCAAG
rnacentral:rRNA from 1 species